UAUUUGGUCAAAAUGGCUAUAAAUACUCGUGAUGUCACAUGUCCGGUGGUCCAUGGGGCUAUAUAUAGAAGUAGCGGCAAUGUUUCUGAUAAUAAAUUUGAGAGAUUUAUCAAGGUGAACAGAGUAAAACAUGGGGAGAUUAGUAUACAGGUUUAUCAUCAUGUUCAGUCUUAUAUCUACAUGUAUGGCCACUCCUAUUUUUGAAAGAGGAAGCCUACUAAAUCGUUUACAACAAACUGUCAAUCAAAUAAUAUCCGAAAAACAGGCAGGGCGGCCAAAUCCAUUCUGUAUCUGCCCUUCUCCUCCAUGUUCCUGCCUCACAGGGAAUCUCAUUGGAUAAUUGGCAUCAUUAACGUCAGAAGUUUUUAAAGGGAAAAAACCCUACUACACAUUCAAUGUAAAUUAUCUGUAACGGCUAGAUGGCGCUUCAUUGGUAAUGGGCAUUAUAAUAGAUGUGGUGUUUAAAUGGUAAUCUGGUAGUAAGGGAAGUAUGCGAUAUGACCGAAAAACCUAAAAGUGACAGUGAUAGAAUACUUUUGUAAAGUAGACUUUAAAAGUACUUCUAUUGCACGGUGCUAGUAGAUAUGGUGGAAACCUAUGUGUUCGUUUCCUCAAAUAAAUCAUAAUCUCAGACUAGAAAAUCAGUGUAAUUUUACAUCGACAGUGGCGUAACCAGGCAACCGAUUGAUGCUGAACGGACUCAGGACCUUAGCCUGAAUCGGAACUGCAAUAUUACAAUUAGGGACGCCACUGUUCAUUGAAUAUGAUAUCCAAUCUCUUGAAAUGGCGUCAAAUGGCGGUAAAUAACGAAGGGCGACAACUCAACUGCCAUGUUUUUGAAUGGGAAAUAACUCUGCCAUUGUUUGUUUCAUAUUUUGAAUCUCAUGUUAUUGUAAAUAUAUAUGCAUAGUUUAUUGCCACUAUUUUUAUUAAUUUAU